CAGCCUUGCAAGAGCCGAAGCUGCCCACUCUCGCACCACUGGACUGACACAGAGAAUAUUCCUUACGUUUGCAGAAGGCUUGGGGCAGGCAGACAUCAAGAAUACCACCCACACUGCUUUGAGAGAUAUUCCUUAAUCUGACAUAAAGAGGGCUUUGACCAAUGACAUGGCUUAUUCCUGGCAUUAGUUCUUCCCUUCCACCCAAACUGAAGAUACGAUUGCCUUGCGGAUGAACGGAGCACCGCGUGCAGCGGUAGGAGAAGGUGCACUUGGAGAGUGCGUCCCGACCGAGCAGUGCUGGGAGGGCUGUGAAGGUGACAGGUGUUCACUUUGAAGACUAUGCAUGUAAAUACGAAGGAGUGCAAUUGCUGAUUUGUAUGAUAAGAGGAUGUUUAGUUUUGUAAGAAUCUGCCAAACUGUCUUCCAAAGUGACUGCAUCAUUUUUCACCUCCACCAGCAAUGGAACAGAGUUCCCGCUGCUCUGCAUCCUUGCCAGCAUUUGUUGUCAGUCCUCCAGAACCUGGCC